rnacentral:rRNA from 1 species
UGAGUGAUUAUGUUUAUAGAAAUAUCUUUUUAUUUAGUAUAUUUUAUAGAAAUUUUCUUUUUUGUUAUAGUUAAUUAUUACUGUGAAGGUACUGUUGUAAUAUGUAUUUAUUUUUAUAAAAGUAUACUUUUUUUGUAUUACCUUUUGUAUCAGGGUUGAUUAAAAUUUUAUAAGUUAUUUUGUUUUCUCGAUAUUACAAGAGCUAAUACUUUAUUUUUUUUAUUGUUUCAUUAAUAUUUAAAAUAUUUAUUAGAGGAGAAAUUCUAUUCGUUUGUAAAGGUAUCUAGUUUUUUAAGAAUUAAAUUUAAUUUAUUUCUAAAAUUUAUUUUUUUUCUUUUUAAUAAAAUAUUUUUUAGAAUAAAUCUAGUAGGGGAUAAGCUCUUCUUUUUACUAUAAUUUUUAUUUUUAUAAAUAUAAUAGGACUAAGAUCAACCAUUUUUUAAAUUCGUUAUAGAAUAUUUUAUUUUUUCUUGAUUUUCAAUUUUUUUGUUAUUUAUUAAAAUUAAUUAUUUUACUUUAUUUUAAUUGUAAUUAUGAUUAAAUUAGUAUAAAAUCUUGUUUUUAUUUUCUUUUAUUUAAUUUUAAUUAAGGAACUCGGCAAAUAUAAUUUUCGCCUGUUUAUCAAAAACAUGUCCUCUUGAUUUUUUUAGGAGGUCAGACCUGCCCAGUGAUAAAUUUAACGGCCGCGGUAUACUGACCGUGCAAAGGUAGCAUAAUCAUUAGUCUUUUAAUAGAAGGCUGGAAUGAAGGGUUUAACGAAAAAUUAGCUGUCUCAAUUAUAUUUUAGAAUUUAGCUUUUAAGUUAAAAGGCUUAAUUUUUGUUGGAGGACGAGAAGACCCUAUAGAGCUUUACAAUUUUAUUUAUUAUUUUUUUUAAGUUUAAUAAUUAAUAUUAGUUUUUAAAAUUGUUUUGUUGGGGUGACAAAAAUAUAUAUUUAACUUUUAUUAUUUUUUUACAUUAAUUUAUGAGUUUUGGAUCCAUCAUAGGUGAUCAUUAGAAUAAGUUACCUUAGGGAUAACAGCGUAAUCUUCUUUCAGAGUUCAAAUUUACAAGAAGGCUUGCGACCUCGAUGUUGGAUUAAGAUUAUAGUUAGGUGUAGCAGCUUAACUUAUAGGUCUGUUCGACCUUUAAAUUCUUACAUGAUCUGAGUUCAGACCGGUUUAAGCCAGGUCGGUUUCUAUCCCCAAUUUUUUAUUACUUAGUAGUACGAAAGGACCCUAAUUUAAAAAUAAUUUUUUAUUAAUGAAUAUUAUUA